GAUGAACGCUGACAGAAUGCUUAACACACGCAAGUCAACUUGGACUUCGGUUUGGGUGGCGGACGGGUGAGUAACGCGUAAAGAACUUGCCUCACAGAUAGGGACAACAUUUGGAAACGAAUGCUAAUACCUGAUAUUAUGAUUUUAGGGCAUCCUAGAAUUAUGAAAGCUAUAUGCGCUGUGAGAGAGCUUUGCGUCCCAUUAGCUAGUUGGAGAGGUAACGGCUCACCAAGGCGAUGAUGGGUAGCCGGCCUGAGAGGGUGAUCGGCCACAAGGGGACUGAGACACGGCCCUUACUCCUACGGGAGGCAGCAGUGGGGAAUAUUGGACAAUGGACCAAGAGUCUGAUCCAGCAAUUCUGUGUGCACGAUGAAGUUUUUCGGAAUGUAAAGUGCUUUCAGUUGGGAAGAAAAAAAUGACGGUACCAACAGAAGAAGUGACGGCUAAAUACGUGCCAGCAGCCGCGGUAAUACGUAUGUCACAAGCGUUAUCCGGAUUUAUUGGGCGUAAAGCGCGUCUAGGUGGUUAUAUAAGUCUGAUGUGAAAAUGCAGGGCUCAACUCUGUAUUGCGUUGGAAACUGUGUAACUAGAGUACUGGAGAGGUAAGCGGAACUACAAGUGUAGAGGUGAAAUUCGUAGAUAUUUGUAGGAAUGCCGAUGGGGAAGCCAGCUUACUGGACAGAUACUGACGCUGAAGCGCGAAAGCGUGGGUAGCAAACAGG
rnacentral:rRNA from 1 species